CCUACGGGAGGCAGCAGUGAGGAAUAUUGGUCAAUGGGAGAGAUCCUGAACCAGCCAAGCCGCGUGAGGGAAGACGGCCCUAUGGGUUGUAAACCUCUUUUGUCGGGGAGCAAAAGACGCCACGCGUGGCGUUCCGAGAGUACCCGAAGAAAAAGCAUCGGCUAACUCCGUGCCAGCAGCCGCGGUAAUACGGAGGAUGCGAGCGUUAUCCGGAUUUAUUGGGUUUAAAGGGUGCGCAGGCGGAAGAUCAAGUCAGCGGUAAAAGUGAGGUGCUCAACCUCUUCGAGCCGUUGAAACUGGUUUUCUUGAGUGAGCGAGAAGUAUGCGGAAUGCGUGGUGUAGCGGUGAAAUGCAUAGAUAUCACGCAGAACUCCGAUUGCGAAGGCAGCAUACCGGCGCUCAACUGACGCUCAUGCACGAAAGUGUGGGUAUCGAACAGGAUUAGAUACCCGAGUAGUC
rnacentral:rRNA from 1 species